rnacentral:sRNA from 1 species
UAUGAGGGCAAUCUGGCUGCGACAUCUGUCACCCCACUGAUCACCAGGGUUGAAUGUGCUGAUCUGGCUGGCUGAGGGGAUGACCACCCCCAUAGA